GUGGCGCCUUCGCAGACGUGUAACAUUACACGUUCUUCGGGUAUAUUCGGUAUGUAGCUGGUCUAAGAAUUGGAUUGGAAGGACAAGCUCUUUCUGUAUAUGGUAUUGCAGUAAAAGAUUCAAGAGCAUGACAAAGCACAUCAAAACCA